CUGCAGGCAGGACAGUCCUCUUCCCGGGCUCACCGCAACAUUCAGUAGCUGCUUUGAAGGAACAGAAUAAGGUUGCCACAUGCCAGUCUGUCCUCCGAUCACUUCAGGGUUCCACUCACCGUGGGUUCAAGGCUUCUUUGAUUCUUUGUUUCCUUUAGUUUUCAUUCUCUCCUCUUCAGAACAAGAGUAGAUGGUUCGGUGUAUGCAAAUAUCACAGUUCCAGAAACCCACACCUGUGACUGAUGGGAGUGGUGGACAAAUACCCACAACUUCCUCUCUCUACUCUUGGCUGAGGACAAUUCUGAAGUGAGCCCUACACUGUCUCCCAGAUGCAGUCUGACCUGAGCCAUGAAGAAGUGCAGAGUCCCCAAGAGGCCAGAGAGCUCACGUCUGGUUAGAGUCGGGGUGUUUGAUGGGAAGAUGAAAGGAGGAGCUGGCAUCUGAGAUUUAGCAGAGAUUCCGUUCGGAAGGAUUCUGGCGAAACAGCGUGAGUUGACAACUCUGCUUCUGAAUAGUACAUUAUUUAUUCAGUGCCAGCCACGAGCCCGGCAGGUGAUGAGCUAAACUAAACUUGCUGGCACACACACGCAGAACUCAGGAACAGCAGAGUGAUGGCAGCCUCAUCUCAAAGUGGCUCCUUCAAGGAGGAGGACUAAGAGUGUUAAGCCAGGUCAUAAGAAGCCUUGCAGCUUCUUGAUUCUCAGAAUGCUUGCUCUGGAAGAAGCCAGCUGCCGUGUAAGAAAUCAGAUGUCUCUGAGACCACCAUGCUGUGAGAGGCCACGACUGCCACAUGCAGAGGCUACAUGGAGAGAGAGAGAGAGAGGAGAGGGACAGAGAGAGAGAUGCUCAGCCAUCCCCGAGCCAAGGCAUAAACACAUGAGUGAGGAAGCCAGGUUGGAUGUUCCCACCCCCUCCGGUCCUCAGAUGACACCAGCCUCAGCUGCCAUCUGACUGCAACCAGAAGAGGCACCCAGAAAGACCUGCCCAGCU
rnacentral:lncRNA from 1 species